rnacentral:lncRNA from 1 species
AAGAAUUAUGGUUUUUCUUUAUCAUUUUACAGGACAGUGGUAAUAAUAUAUGGAUUCUGUUGGAGAUAGAGUGUCGUACAAGUAUUGGAUGAAAUAUUUACCUAGCAAACAGACUUGCUGCUCCAUUUCAAGCAACCUUGUCUUGGUGUUCAGAAUAUCAUCCCAUGAGGCAGUGCUGAGACACAGCUAUUAAGAAGAGUGAGCCCUGCAAAGAAGAUUUCCCAACUUUACAGUAAGAUUGAGUGUCUCAGCCCAGACAAUGGGCCCCUGCCUCCAGGAGUGUGCGACUGAAAUAAAUCCACUGACUUGAGCAGCCGCGCUCCAUCCCACGCGACCGGGAGCCGAAGCUGGUUUCUGACACACCAACUUCCAUGGAGCCAGGGAAGAGCGUACAGGUGAGCAGCA